rnacentral:rRNA from 1 species
AUUGAACGCUGGCGGCAUGCCUUACACAUGCAAGUCGAACGGUAACGCGGGGCAACCUGGCGACGAGUGGCGAACGGGUGAGUAAUGCAUCGGAACGUGCCCAGAAGUGGGGGAUAGCCCGGCGAAAGCCGGAUUAAUACCGCAUGAGACCUGAGGGUGAAAGCGGGGGAUCGCAAGACCUCGCGCUUUUGGAGCGGCCGAUGUCAGAUUAGCUAGUUGGUGGGGUAAAGGCCUACCAAGGCGACGAUCUGUAGCUGGUCUGAGAGGACGACCAGCCACACUGGGACUGAGACACGGCCCAGACUCCUACGGGAGGCAGCAGUGGGGAAUUUUGGACAAUGGGCGCAAGCCUGAUCCAGCCAUGCCGCGUGCGGGAAGAAGGCCUUCGGGUUGUAAACCGCUUUUGUCAGGGAAGAAACGCUCUGGGCUAAUACCCUGGGGCAAUGACGGUACCUGAAGAAUAAGCACCGGCUAACUACGUG